GAUGAACGCUGGCGGCGUGCCUAAUACAUGCAAGUCGAGCGAACGGACGAGAAGAUUGCUUCUCUGAUGUUAGCGGCGGACGGGCGAGUAAGACGUGGAUCACCUACCUAUAAGACUGGGAUAACUUCGGGAAACCGGAGCUAAUACCGGAUGAUAUUUUGAACCGCAUGGUUCAAAAGUGAAUGACGGUCUUGCUGUCACUUAUAGAUGGAUCCGCGCUGCAUUAGCUAGUUGGUAAGGUAACGGCUUACCAAGGCAACGAUGCUUAGCCGACCUGAGAGGGUGAUCGGCCACACUGGAACUGAGACACGGUCCAGACUCCUACGGGAGGCAGCAGUGGGGAAUCUUCCGCAAUGGGCGAAAGCCUGACGGAGCAACGCCGCGUGAGUGAUGAAGGUCUUCGGAUCGUAAAGCUCUGUUAUUGGGGAAGAACAUAUGUGUAAGUAACUGUGCACGUCUUGACGGUACCUAAUCAGAAAGCCACGGCUAACUACGUG
rnacentral:rRNA from 1 species